rnacentral:rRNA from 1 species
UUUUUUAUUUAUUAUUUAGAUUUUUUUUUGUGGAAUAUUUAAGUUUUUUUUUUUUUGARAAAAUGUUUAAAAUUUGUUUWUUGAACUGGAUUAGUACCCAGGUAAUCAAAAUUUAUUAAUACGGGAGUAAAGUUGUUUUUAAACCGAAAAAAUAUUGACUGACCUCGGAUUUUUCUUUGGAAUAUGUGCUUUGGAGAGUCCUCCUUUAUAGUUUUUUUUAUUGGCUCAUGUAUGAUUGUUUAGUUUUUAAAUUUUUUGUAAGGCUUUUUUUAUUUUUAAGGUAAAACAAAAAUAWACUUGGUUUAWAAAUUWAWAGGSAKGKGUUACUAUUAUUAAUUUUUUUCGGAUAAUUUUUUAUUAAUUUUUUUUUGAAGUUGGAAAARAAAGUAAUUG